UAUUAGGUUGGUGCAAAAGUCAUUGCAGCUUUUGCCAUUAUUUUCAAUGGCAAAAGCUGCAAUGACUUUUGCACCAACCUAAUA
rfam:Homo sapiens chromosome 6, GRCh38 reference primary assembly.